rnacentral:rRNA from 1 species
CACGUAGGGCGCAAGCGUUGUCCGGAAUUAUUGGGCGUACAGAGCUCGUAGGCGGUCUGUUGCGUCCGCUGUGAAAACCCGGGGCUUAACCCUGGGCUGGCAGUGGAUAGGGACAGACUAGAGGUAGGUAGGGGAGAAUGGAAUUCCCGGUGUAGCGGUGAAAUGCGCAGAUAUCGGGAGGAACACCGGUGGCGAAGGCGGUUCUCUGGGCCUUACCUGACGCUGAGGAGCGAAAGCGUGGGGAGCGAACAGG